rnacentral:rRNA from 1 species
GACGAACGCUGGCGGCGUGCUUAACACAUGCAAGUCGAACGGAAAGGCCUCUUUCGGGGGGUACUCGAGUGGCGAACGGGUGAGUAACACGUGAGUAACCUGCCCUUGACUUUGGGAUAACUUCAGGAAACUGGGGCUAAUACCGGAUAGGAGCUCCUGCUGCAUGGUGGGGGUUGGAAAGUUUCGGCGGUUGGGGAUGGACUCGCGGCUUAUCAGCUUGUUGGUGGGGUAGUGGCUUACCAAGGCUUUGACGGGUAGCCGGCCUGAGAGGGUGACCGGCCACAUUGGGACUGAGAUACGGCCCAGACUCCUACGGGAGGCAGCAGUGGGGAAUAUUGCACCAUGGGUGGAAGCCUGAUGCAGCAACGCCGUGUGCGGGAUGACGGCCUUCGGGUUGUAAACCGCUUUCGCUCAUGACGAAGCUUUGUGUGACGGUAGUGGGUAAAGAAGCACCGGCUAACUACGUG